UACAGAGGUCUCAAGCGUUGUUCGGAUUCAUUGGGCGUAAAGGGUGCGUAGGCGGCGCGGUAAGUCGGGUGUGAAAUCUCGGAGCUUAACUCCGAAACUGCAUUCGAUACUGCCGUGCUUGAGGACUGGAGAGGAGACUGGAAUUUACGGUGUAGCGGUGAAAUGCGUAGAUAUCGUAAGGAAGACCAGUGGCGAAGGCGGGUCUCUGGACAGUUCCUGACACUGAGGCCCGAAGGCCAGGGGAGCAAACGGG
rnacentral:rRNA from 1 species